rnacentral:rRNA from 1 species
GACGAACGCUGGCGGCGUGCCUAAUACAUGCAAGUCGAGCGGACUUGAGGGAGCUUGCUCCCGAAAGUUAGCGGCGGACGGGUGAGUAACACGUGGGCAACCUGCCUAUAAGACUGGGAUAACUUCGGGAAACCGGAGCUAAUACCGGAUAAUUCUUUUCCUCUCAUGAGGAAAAGCUGAAAGACGGUUUCGGCUGUCACUUAUAGAUGGGCCCGCGGCGCAUUAGCUAGUUGGUGAGGUAACGGCUCACCAAGGCGACGAUGCGUAGCCGACCUGAGAGGGUGAUCGGCCACACUGGGACUGAGACACGGCCCAGACUCCUACGGGAGGCAGCAGUAGGGAAUCUUCCGCAAUGGACAAAAGUCUGACGGAGCAACGCCGCGUGAGUGAUGAAGGUUUUCGGAUCGUAAAACUCUGUUGUUAGGGAAGAACAAGUACCAGUUAACUGCUGGUACCUUGACGGUACCUAACCAGAAAGCCACGGCUAACUACGUGCCAGCCGCCGCCGUAAGAC